GCAUUUGUUUCGGCGGUACCUAUACUAAUCCUGGAGCGAUACAUACAAGAUUAACAUGGCCCCUGCGCAAGGAUGGUCCUCUGCAUGACAGAAUGUGGAAGAUGACGGUU